GGGCGGGGCGGUGGCCUGGCCAGGAGAGCGCAGAGUACCGCCCAGGGGCUCAAUUGCUCCCGGGAAAAAGAUUCCGCGGCUGUCGCCGAGUCCUGGUCCGGAUAAUCUCGUACGUGCUAGCGCUUUCUACGCAGCCUCUAAUCCAGUUUGGCACUUCAUCUUCAAUGAAAAACCCUCAUCCUGCCCCAGGGCUUGGACAGUGAUUGAGAUAGAAUUCCUGCCAUUUGGUCUACACAGGACUAUAUUUGAAGUUCUUCCACAAUCUUGAUAAGAAAUGAAGGGAAAAUUCCUCUACAUAAUCAAAAUGGAGUUUCAAAAGAUUCUCAGUGAAACAACUGAAGCCACUAAAAAAUAUCCAAGUACUAUCUCACAUUUACUGACUUUACCAAUUAUGAGUGCAAACAAGGAUUCAAGGUCAUUGAUAUGAAAAAGGGCCUGUUGAGAGAAGACAGAUUGGACAAAGUUAAUCCCCCUGGAGUGUGAAUGUGUUUCAAUAAAUGAAGGUAAGGCUGUAUACCUUAUGAUCUGCUUUAGCACAUCGUGACUUUAAUAUACUGAAUGGUUAAGUGUACAAUUUAAUGAUUUCUAAUAUAUUUAAAGAGUUAUGCAGCUAUUACCACAAUCCAAUUGCAGAUGACCUCUACCACCCUGUCCUCUUGGAACUGCAUACAUUUUUAAAGUUGUAUUUAAAAUUUACUCUCCAGUCUUACUCAAAUCAUGAUGGCAUACAGUAGCAGAAUGUAUUAGAUUUGUUUAAG